UCAUCCCGCACGGGAGAGUCAGGACGCGUCGCUGACGUGGGCCUGCGCCGAAGGGGCAAUUCCUCCCCGGAACCUCUCAGGCGCCCGGACCGUGCGGAGCAG
rnacentral:ncRNA from 2 species